GCCAUACAUCAAAGUAGUGCUCGAUUUUUGGUCUUUGUUUUGACAUGUAGGAUUUGAUUUGAGCAUGUCUGUCUGUGGUCAUUGACUUCACCUUCAUCCCACUUUCAUCAAACUUUGCCAGACAUCUUUUUAAUCCCUCAAGUUCCAUUGCUCCAGAGUUCGUCACUUCAUUGGACUGUGUAACAUAAUUAUAUUCCAAAUCCAUGCAGCUAUAUGACCCAUACUUGGCACAAUAUCCAGGCGAAUCACAUCUUCCAUCUCCUCCAAGGUUAAUGUUCCUUUCUCUGAUUGAUUCUAGAAGAUGCUUUUGGUUCAUAUGCCAAACAUUUGAAACACUGGGUAUCAAAUACGCUGUUUGAAUAUUGCUAUAUGUGCGCUCUGACAGAAAUUGUAUGCCUGAGUGACGAAGGAAUUGAAGAACUUUGCUGGGGCUACUACCACUAAAAAAGAUGCUGGCAGCAAAGACCAAGUUGCCCAAAGGCAUUCGCCCAUGCAGAGAUGCUACACUUGUGGGUUCCACAGA